rnacentral:rRNA from 1 species
GAUGAACGCUGGCGGCGUGCCUAAUACAUGCAAGUCGAGCGAACAGAUGAGGAGCUUGCUCCUCUGACGUUAGCGGCGGACGGGUGAGUAACACGUGGAUACCCUACCUAUAAGACUGGGAUAACUUCGGGAAACCGGAGCUAAUACCGGAUAAUAUAUUGAACCGCAUGGUUCAAUAGUGAAAGACGGUUUUGCUGUCACUUCUCGAUGGAUCCGCGCCGCAUUAGCUAGUUGGUACGGUCACGGCUUACCAAGGCAACGAUGCGUAGCCGACCUGUGAGGGGGAUCGGCCACACGGGAACUGAGACACGGUCCAGACGACUACGGGAGGCAGCAGUAGGGAAUCUUACGCAAUGGGCGAAAGCCUGACGGAGCAACGCCGCGUGAGUGAUGAAGGUCUUCGGAUCGUAAAACUCUGUUAUUAGGGAAGAACAAAUGUGUAAGUAACUAUGCACGUCGUGACGGUACCUAAUCAGAAAGCCACGGCUAACUACGUG